AACACAUGCAAGUCGAGGGGCAGCAUGGUCUUAGCUUGCUAAGGCCGAUGGCGACCGGCGCACGGGUGAGUAACACGUAUCCAACCUGCCGUCUACUCUUGAACAGCCUUCUGAAAGGAAGAUUAAUACAAGAUGGCAUCAUGAGUCCGCAUGUUCACAUGAUUAAAGGUAUUCCGGUAGACGAUGGGGAUGCGUUCCAUUAGAUAGUAGGCGGGGUAACGGCCCACCUAGUCUUCGAUGGAUAGGGGUUCUGAGAGGAAGGUCCCCCACAUUGGAACUGAGACACGGUCCAAACUCCUACGGGAGGCAGCAGUGAGGAAUAUUGGUCAAUGGGCGAGAGCCUGAACCAGCCAAGUAGCGUGAAGGAUGACUGCCCUAUGGGUUGUAAACUUCUUUUAUAAAGGAAUAAAGUCGGGUAUGGAUACCCGUUUGCAUGUACUUUAUGAAUAAGGAUCGGCUAACUCCGUGCCAGCAGCCGCGGUAAUACGGAGGAUCCGAGCGUUAUCCGGAUUUAUUGGGUUUAAAGGGAGCGUAGAUGGAUGUUUAAGUCAGUUGUGAAAGUUUGCGGCUCAACCGUAAAAUUGCAGUUGAUACUGGAUAUCUUGAGUGCAGUUGAGGCAGGCGGAAUUCGUGGUGUAGCGGUGAAAUGCUUAGAUAUCACGAAGAACUCCGAUUGCGAAGGCAGCCUGCUAAGCUGCA
rnacentral:rRNA from 1 species